GUGCUCCAGAGAUCCAGCACAAAGCUGGGUCCUGCAGGGGUUUAGAGACAAGUGGGAAAGACAUGCUGGACUUUGGGAAUGUUAAGCGUCCAUGCUCCGCAAGAAUAAAAGAGGCCUCAUGAGGCUUCACAAGAGCAGUGGCCCAGGGAGCGAGGGGAGAGACAGAAGGCUGAGCGGAGGCAGUCGGUCUGGACAGGGCCCUGAGACUGGUUACCUGAGACGGAGGUGAGGAAGAGGACGUGCCAGGAGAGGGCCCCAUGGUGUGCAAACUGAGGUCUCCUGUGUCAUGUGGUGGGAGGUGGCUGGAAGGAUGGGGUAGGACAGGCUCCGACAGGCAGGAAGGUUGGCUUUCUCCAGUAAAUGCAGAGUGAGGCCCUGUGAGAAAGGGUUCCAGUCUGGCCCCUCUUAGCUUUCAGAGUCACGGCUCCCGAGCCUGCCUGCUCCUUGCUGGCCCCGCCCAUCUCUGAUGCCAGCAGCCUCUGGUCUCUGUUUCCCUCUUGGUCAAACUCCGACUUUGCAGAGAAACUCCGUUCUGAAGCAAAAUUUUACUUACAAUGGCAAUUUAUAGCACAUCUGCUUGGGAGGGGCCGUGGCUGUUGGGGCUGGUGGUGAGGGUGGCUGCAGCGAGGGUGCCAAGUGCCCUGCCGCCCCCACCCGCCCUGCAUGGAGGCCCCUUGGCAGAGCUCCAGGCUCUGCUUCACACGGCUGGCCUGAGGCCGCCUGUCUGGACCCAGUCCAGCCUCUGUGGCUCCUGCCGCCUGCCACAGCCUUCACCCUAGCACCCCCAUCUGAGGUUCUGACCUCUGGAUAUGAGCACCAAAGGCUCCUGGGGAAGCUCUAUGUGCCAGGCUGGCAACGUGGGGUUCCGCAGUGGGGAAAAGGGGGUCUAGAUGGUUGCUCAUGGGCCCCCCUCUUCCCUCGCCUCGGACCAGGGUGCAGAGCCGACUGCUAGUUGCUGCAGCCCUUUCCCGGGCCAGGGGGUGGCCGGCGGUCACUGCCGGGUUCCAUCUGCUGGAUGCAGGAGAGCGGCUCCAGAUGCACCAGGAGGGCCGCGUUCGAAUGUCAAUUCCAUCUUCUCACAAUCAUUUUCCGCAUCCUCUUAGUGCUGGGCGAAGGCAGCCUGCUCGUUUGAAUGCAUAAUUAGCCCAAGCAUUCUACCUCGCUAAUUUCAAGGCAGGGGAAGGGAAUGGAGGGGGGCUUGGGAAUUUGCAUAUUAAUUUAGCCGAGGGAGAGAAAAAUUGUUUACCACUUCCUUCGCACAGUUGCUCACAGAGGACUUAACUCUUUCCUGCUCCGCGUCUGGGGCUUACGGGAGAGGGUGCGCAUGGGAGGUGCGGCCAGCCCUCCCGCUGCGUCCACUCCAGGGCGGUCCCUGCACACAAUGUGCUGGGCUCAGCCACAGCCCCCUUUCUUUGCAAGGACCACAUGGGGGCUGUCUGGGUGCCAAACAUGUACGGACAGGGGCUGCUGGGGACGCCCUCCUCGGCUGGUCCUCACCUGCAGUUUUCAGGAGCCAGAGACACUUGGAUCCACGGUGUUCUUCUAUUUUCUCCACAAUGCUCCCCCAGCCCCAGAUCGGGCAUCAGUACAGUGCUGGGUAGAGGGGGGGCACACAUGCUGCCCCCACACCAGGGUGACAGGGGCAGCCAGCAGAGGGUGAGGUCCUGCAGAACCUUUGAGUCAGGGAGAGUAAGCGUCCACUGGGGGAGUCAAGGCAGGCUUCCUGUAGGAGGUGGUAUCUUCCCUGGGCCUUGUAGGGUGAGCAUGCUUCUCCAAGCGAGGGUGCAGGUGACUGGAAGGUCCUGGGGCCUAGGGCCACACCAGAGACCUUUGGGGAGCCUGGGCCAUUUAUCAUGACCCGAUUUGAGUGAGGGCUUGUGAGGUCUCAGAAGUCGGGAAGGCUUGUGCAGGGCUCAGAUGGUGGACUGCGGCCUGUGCCAGCAAACAGCCCAACUGCUCCGCGCCCCUGUCUAGUCUGUGGAGUGGAGAAUAAUUCUAAGGGUUUACUAAGAGGUCUGCAGCGCAUCCCCUUGGAAAGGGCCUGGUGCCCCACAGCAACCUGGCAAUACCGGUUUUCCCAGGAGAUAGUUUCCACGUCUGUGUUUCUAUAUAGAAAUGAUCAUCCACCUGCAUUCGACACCCCCAGGCACUUGUGAGACCAAAUGGGGCGAGCGCAUGGCGUUUUGCACGGCCCUGCCCCGGCCUGGGAGGCGCUGGACAGGAGCCACCUGCUGUCAUGUCUCCUGAUGGCAGCCAUGAGGCUCGCACGGGGUCCCCGUGUUCCUGUUGUGCACAGAUGCCGCCUGGAUGGCAGAGCUCGGCUCCGUCUUCUUCAGGACAGGGAAGGCUCUGCUGCUGGGAGGGGCUGGCAUGUCAGGAAGGGCCAGGUUGGGGGACGGGAGGGCAGCUGCUGGGGGCUUUAAGCACCCAUGGCGGGGAGGGUGGUGGCAGACAGAGAGGGCCAUGAGCGGGAAUGGAAGGAUGUCAGAGGCGGGGACGACGCUGAGCGAGCAGAGCUGAGAGGGUCUCUGCGGGGUAGAGGCCAGGCCGGCCCAGACCUGGCCACUCUCAUGGUGACUUUAGGCCACUCCCCUCUCAGUUUAUUGAUCUGUAGCUUGAGAGGCCGGUCCCAUCCUGAGCCACGGCAGGCAUGAUGGAUCAAUCAUAGAAUCUUCUCCCGCCACCUCCCGGGAAUUCCAGGAUGCCACUGCUUGUCAAUUCUCCAUGGCAGUCGGGUGGCCUCUGUUUGCCACCUGGGUUAGAUGAGUUCCAAGACGCCCUCAUGCCUGGGCCCACUCAGGGCUAAUCUACGCC